AAUGACACGAUCACUCCCGCUGAGCGAGCAGCGAGACAGCCACGGGGAUGUCGUGUCUGUCC
rnacentral:pre_miRNA from 1 species